ensembl:lncRNA LINC00442 long intergenic non-protein coding RNA 442
AGUUCCUCAUCUGGACUCACUGGGAGAAGUGAUUCACUAGAAUUCUCAUUGGAAGAAAUGACAGGAAAGCUCCCUCCAAUAUCUCAAUUUCCACCCCACUCAGUACCUGGUUUUAUGAUUCCACACCCUCCUAAUCCAUCCUGCCCUCCUAACACAUCCCACUCUCGUAAGCCAUCCCACUCUCGUGCCCGCGAAUCCCUCCCUCUUCUUCCAUCUGCCAAGCCCCUUCCUCCUCUCCAGAAGUACGUGGAUUUUUCAGUUUUCUGCCCUAACUGUUAUCCCACUGUGGCUCAUACCUGCCCUCCCCACUACCCUACCCUAAUACUCUACCUGCACUGCUCUUCUGCUAUUCAUUACAAACCAUCCAUUUGUCAAUGCUCUAGUCCCAGAACUCUUUCUGGUAACUCCCUUAUCGAUCACCCUAGCCCUCCUUCUAGCCCUACUGGUCAACGCUUGGGUCCCAGAACUCUUCCCUGUGAUUCCCUUAUCCGUUCUCCUGUUCCUCCUCCUAGCCCUCCUUGCCAACGCUCUGGUCCCAGAACUCUUUUCUGUGACUACCCUGUCUGUCCCCCUACUCCUCCUCCCAGCCCUACUUGCAAAUGCUGUCGUCCCAGAGCUGUUUCCUGGGACUCCUCUACCUAUGCCUCUACCCCUCCUCCUUAGCCCUACUUCUUUCUAGUACCCUGUACUCUAGUCCCCAGCCCCCAGCCCUGCCAUCCCCAACCAGACCUUAUGGUUCACAAGUCUCAUCUUGGAGAUGGUUUCCCUGCUCCCGGGGCAGUUCUGGAACAGUUCAGGAUGGCCAGGACUGUGGAUUCCCAGCAGUCUGACCUCGUGGACAAAGGAAAUGCAAGACGAUGGCAAACCAGCAUUCAGCCUCAUCUGCUCCUUUCCUCCCCUGCCUCAUCAGCCAGCCUGCAUGAGCCUCUACAUUUGUUCCUGGCUUCUCCAUGGAACUCGGUCUACAGCCACAAAGCAAACCACAGGGCCAGUGACAGAGAAGGCAGAGGGGAGUGUGGAGUGGGAAGCACCUAACCUGUUCUCAAGGAGGGGAAUGAUUGGCCAAGAUGAGUUUCAAUCGUAUGUCCACUACCUCCUGGCCUGCCACUUGGCUGUGAGUCCUUUCUGGGCGGUGUCCAGGGGCGGUUCCAGUGAUCAGGCAGGUGCUGAGAAGCACAGGCAGCAGGAUGAGGGGAUACUUGCCAGGAGACAGCAUGGGAUGCCAUUGCCUAGAGUUGGCAGAAGGACCAGGAGCAGGCAGGCAGCGAGAGAACACCCAGAGUGCUCCUGAUCGGACCAAGCUGCAUGGAGGCCACAAUGGGACACCUGAGGGAAAAGGUGACCCCAGAUGAGGUCCAUCGGAACCAGAUAUUGUGGGAACUGUCAAACCAGACCAAGAAGUAUGGAGGCCACAGAGGGACACCCCAGGGAGGUGACCCUGGAUGAGGUUCAUCAGAACUAGAUCUUGUGAGAACUACCUGACCAGACCAAGCAGCACAGAGGCCACGGUGAGACACCUGAGGGAGAAGGCGAACCCAGAUAAGGCUCAUCGGGUUCCGAUCUUGUGAGAACUGCAGAAGGCGACCACAGAUGAGGCUCAUCAGAACUAGAUCUUGUGAGAACUGCCUGAGCAGACCAAGCAGCACAGAGGCCACAGUGAGACACAUGAGGGAGAAGGUGAACCCAGAUGAGGCUCAUCAGGAACAGAUCUUGUGGGAACCAGAGAGGACAACCCCGGAUGAGGUCCAUCAGAACCAGAUCUUGUGGGAACUGCACUUCAAAGUGCUACAGACCCACAAACACUACAUGCAGCAUCACAUGAAUGCCCUCUGCAAGGGUGAGGGGCCUGGCAGGAUGGAGGAAAUACCAGAGAGGGGGGAUGCGCCCUGAAAAAAAGGAGAGCCCUGGGGACUGCGGAAGGUGGAGUGUGCGUCUCAUUAAAGGAGAAGAUACCUUCUCACACCCUACCUCCUUUUAUAGACUUUAGGAGCAAUGUCUUUGGAGGGGGCCUCACCUACAUCACAUCAGAUGCAUUAAAUAUAUUAAAAAGCAUUCACAUCUCAUGAAACAUUUUCACUGUAGAAAUGAGAGGUUGAGUAGCAUUUUCUAAUUUUGCUUUUGAAAUAUAACUGUAUUUUGCAGGA